CGUAGGCGGUUUGUUAAGUCAGCUGUGAAAGCCCCGGGCUCAACCUGGGAACUGCAGUUGAUACUGGCCGACUAGAGUACGAGAGAGGGAGGUAGAAUUCCACGUGUAGCGGUGAAAUGCGUAGAUAUGUGGAGGAAUACCGGUGGCGAAGGCGGCCUCCUGGCUCGACACUGACGCUGAGGUGCGAAAGCGUGGGGAGCAAACA
rnacentral:rRNA from 1 species